AAGCCUCGGGUGACGGUACUUCACUGGACUCGAUCCCUUGGCUGCCAUGGAUAAUUGCGGUAAUUCUGAAACUAAUACAAGAACGUAAAACCCGAUGGACUGGGCAACUGGGAAAUUGGGGGUUGUGCGAGCUGACGCCAACGAAAAAGGGAUGAGAACGCGCACGAUCGUACCGCCACAACAAACGAUCUCGAGUCAGUUCCUAGUACCGCGAGGGAAAAGCUGAUUCUUGUUCGGGCGGUACCAGUACUGUGCCUCUGACCUAUCAACUAGACUGCGAUUCCAUGGACUGCAAUUGUCACAACGGGUACAGAGGAUAAGGGUUCGAUCCUGGAGAGUGGGCCUGAGAGAUU
rnacentral:rRNA from 1 species